GCCGGAGUGGUGGAAUUGGUAGACACCGGGGACUUAAAAUCCCCCGGUCAUUGCGACCGUGCCGGUUCGAGUCCGGUCUCCGGCA
rnacentral:tRNA from 1 species